rnacentral:miRNA from 8 species
GCUGGGAAGUCAAAGGGACGC